GAACAGGACUACCGUUCCCAUGAGCCCCCGCGGCCCCGCCCUCCCCGCGUUUUCUGAGGCAGCAUGGCGCCGGAGUGGUGUGUGAGCAUGACACCGUGUCAAGAAGGGGUAAAAACACUCCCCUGGCUGGGGAGCUGAUUUACCCACAGUGCCCCUGCACGAUGGAGGAAAUGGUCCUGCAGGAUCCUGGGGCUGCUGUUGCCCAAAGACAGCUUUGGCCAGAGGACAGCUGCUAUGUUUGGCUUCAGGCUGAUCCAGAAGAUUGCUCUGGACUGAGUGUCACAAAUGACUGCUGAGAUGUGAAAUGGCUGCCUGUGUGUAGCCACAGGCUCCUCCUCAUUGCUCAGUCAUUGCUGCAGCCACACCAUGGGACCUGAUCUACAGUUGCCUGGAGGAAAAAGUGGUUCCCUGCUUUCUUCUGUUCCAGAAUAAAAUAAGUUGUGGAAGAUCUUAAAAA